rnacentral:rRNA from 1 species
GACGAACCGUGCGAAUGUUGUUCGGAAUCACUGGGCUUAAAGGGCGCGUAGGCGGGCUGUCAAGUCUGGGGUGAAAUGCCGCGGCUCAACCGUGGAACUGCCUUAGAUACUGACGGCCUCGAGGAAGGUAGGGGCAUGCGGAACUGUAGGUGGAGCGGUGAAAUGCGUUGAUAUCUACAGGAACUCCGGUGGCGAAAGCGGCGUGCUGGACCUUUUCUGACGCUGAUGCACGAAAGCUAGGGGAGCAAACAGG